rnacentral:tRNA from 1 species
GUGCCCGUAGUUCAACGGAUAGAACGUCGGGUUGCGGACCCGAAGAUUGAGAGUUCAAUUCUCUCCGGGCACA